UUCCUCCAUCCGUCUGUUCUAUUGGCUCAAGGACCAGGUUACCAUGACGUUCCUCCAUCCGUCUGUUCUAUUGGCUCAAGGACCAGGUUACCAUGACGUUCCUCCAUCCGUCUGUUCUAUUGGCUCAAGGACCAGGUUACCAUGACGUUCCUCCAUCCUACUGUUGUUUUGGCUCAAGGACCAGGUUACCAUGACGUUCCUCCAUCCGUCUGUUCUAUUGGCUCAAGGACCAGGUUACCAUGAUGUUCCUCCAUCCUACUGUUGUUUUGGCUCAAGGACCAGGUUACCAUGACGUUCCUCCAUCCGUCUGUUCUAUUGGCUCAAGGACCAGGUUACCAUGACGUUCCUCCAUCCGUCUGUUCUAUUGGCUCAAGGACCAGGUUACCAUGACGUUCCUCCAUCCGUCUGUUCUAUUGGCUCAAG